CAUUAAGAUGCCCUUCUUCUUUUCCUGGUGGGAUUCACAUUUGUUUGUCGAUUUACAAUACGAAACAAUGGAUUAAUCCAAAUUCCCUCAUCAUGAUCAUCUCUAAGAUAUAAACCAUCAUCAGUUGAAUCAAUUUCAUGUGGUUGUUGUGAUGUUGCAAAUAAAAGAUCAUUACCAAUAUCUUCAUCAUUAUUGUUAUCAUCACUUAUUUUUGGUCGAUAUGACAACAAACCAUUUAUCAUCAGCAAGAUCAGUGACAUAAAACAAUUGUUGAGCUUGCGACGCUAAAAUAAAAGGUUCGUCUUUGUAUCCCACCCUAUUAAAAUCGACAAGCAAGAA
rnacentral:lncRNA from 1 species